ensembl:lncRNA
GCUUUUCGUUUUGCUGCCCGUUCAUUUCGCUUGGCAAAAGGCUGGUUAUAGAAGCGGGGGGACGUCGCAGCUGUCGUGUUUGCGGUUUGCCUCGCCGCAAUCAGGCUCGCGCUCGCGGGGCCGUGAUUGCGGUAGCCUCCGCCUCAUUUGCAUUGAUGAGGCCGUGGUAGCGGACGGGGCGCAGCGCAGCGCCCGACUCAAUCACAGCGCUCGGCAUGAGCACGGGGAGCCGGGCAUCCGCCGCGCGGCGCCUCAGCCCACCCCGCGUUACGGCCGCUCCUGCGAAAUGGUCCGAACGAGCAACUCCGAAGAUGCGUGUUAAUUGAGGGGCCGGCAUUUCCUUGCGCUCUACUUAUUGGAUAUAACGAUGAUGUGCUCUUCAGUCCCCCAGGAUCCCCCCAAACCGUCCUACCUGGAGUCCUUGAUACUUUUAGGACGGGCAAGAAGAUUUGUGUUCCAUAUCCCAAAGGGUUGCUCUCUCCACCCCCCCCCCCCCCCCCCCCCCCCCCCCCCCCCCCCCCCCCUUUGUUCAUUGUUUACACGGAUGAAGAGAAGGGCCCUGGGUUAUUUGUUUUUCUUUCCUUCCCCCACCCCCCCCACCCCAACCCCCCCCCUUUUUUUUCUUUCCUCCCUUUUUUCCCGAUAUGUGAUCGCUUUGCAUACAGGACAAAAUGUUUCAGUGUUUUAAAUGCCGAAGUAUUCAAAGCAUUCGCACCCCCAAACCACGCACUGUGCCUCCCCCAGAGAAUGCUUUUUCCACCGAAGUUAGAAAUGUCUAAGAAUAGAACACAGUCGUUUCCCUCUGUACCCCCUGGACCCACAAUGUCCUGAGUUUCUCAUAGCGAUUAAUCUGAGAUCUAUUUUCCCACCACUGUCCUGGAUGUGGGUAUUGAAAUCAUCAUCUGUGCUUUGAAAAAAUAAAAUAAAAUAGUAAUAAUUUAAAAAGAACAAAAUAAACAUUUUGUAAAAAAGAAAAAAAAAGAAGAAAAUGGAAGAAGUGAUAAUUCGGAGCUAAAGCGUGCAGUUCAAAAGCUGAAGCUCCCAUUGGAGAACAGAAAAUUUAAUGAGCUUUUAAUGGAAUGCAAUGCUCGGAGUAGUAAAUUAUUUGUUAGUUGACGAUGCAAUCAGCAUGCUGAUUAAGGUCGCUUGGUUUUUUACCAAACAUUAACUGAAUGAAAGCGGUUAGCCCGCGUUGUUCUGCUUGGGGGGCUCCGGCGAAGCAAAUGGACUUUAAGAACAGCGACUGUCAAUAAAGAGAACCAACGCAACAAACCCUGGUGGCAUUAGCGCACAAUGGGGAGGCGGCUGCGGUUCUGUGCGUGCUGACUGUAUAUAUUCACCCGCCGAGUCCUCCGGUCGAUCCGAAGAUCGGCAGCGCGUGCGCUGCUCUAAGACAGCGUUUAUCGGUUCGGUCGGCAGUUGGCUUUGCUCUGCGGAUUUACGGGGGGCAGAAAUGCGAGUUUAAAUAAGUAAAUGAAUAAAUAACGACGAGUCUGGAAGCUCUGCAUCUUGUGUUAACGACCACGCAGUCCCUCUCCUAUAAAUCCCAUUUAGCUCCGUCGUCGCGUUGUUCGCCGGCGGUGAUGAGAUACCUUUAAACCCCGAUAAAUAACUCUCUCGGUGUGUUUUAACUGUUCCUGUUUAUGACCCAAGAGGUUAAAUGCCUUUGACUGGCAUUUGACUUCUGACCUCAUAUAAAUGUUAUCUUAUCAGUUCCCGCUUGUUAACUUGUAUUGAGUGCUUGUCCCUGAUGGCUUCGAGAUAAAGGGGUUUUUAUUAUAUUUCCUAUUGAAACUGAACCCUUUGCUUUGUUCUUCGCCUGUAGUCUCAGCCCACACAGUAACCCCGUCACCUAACAGUUCUGCUGAAUGGGCGAAAACCCCAAACUGGUUACAGCUCACACGGAGCCUGAUUUCCUUCUGGGUUGGAUGGAUCGAGUCGGAUGCUUUGUAACAUCGUUUGUUUGCAUAUGAUCGAGCCGUGAUCCAACUCUGAAUACCGCCUUUAUUUUAUAGAGAUGAUUUUCAGUAACUGUAGGACUCGGAUAAGAAAAGGAGAGUUAGUGAAAUCUUGCUAAGGUUUUUCUAUUUGUCCGAAUCUGAGAAUGCGCAGUAAAAAGUCAGAUGCAUUUUUCUCAUCUGCUAGAACAGUGCGCUGUUGUGCAGAUAGAUGUAGGUCUACCUUCAUUCUGCCUUUCAAACGGAAGAGAUCUUUCCUUUAUCUCGCUUAUGCUCCUGUGUCAUUCUGCCCUUCCCACCUACCUAACUGACAGAUGCUAUCUGAUGGCUGAGGGCAGCGGGCAUUGCCUCAGUGGGCAAUUUGUGUAAGUCGAAGUGUUUUCAGUACAAGGUAUUACUGUUUGCAUACGUGUUAGUAGAACGCAAGUGUAGUUCUACCGUUUAAUUUGCUGAAGGACAUCUUCCAUUAUCUUUCCUAUAGAAAUUGGACUAUAAUCUCAGAGAAGGAGUGAGGAGGUGAGCAGCCAUCUUGAGGGCGUCACACUGCACUUCUUCUCUUUAGCUCUUUGCCCACCUGCUCUCGUCUUGCUCUUUCAUCACCUUUCACUUUAAUUACCCUCUCGAUGUGUAGAAAUGUAUUUCCAUCGUUACACACCCUGCAGAAAGUUGCUUCUGCUCGGGCAAUUCGGGCUUUCUCUGCCGGGUGGUGUUCAGCAAACUCCAUCACCUCCACAUUUACUCAUGAAUAUGAACGAAAGAGUUCUUUUUAUUUUUAUUUUUUAUUUUUUAAUAAUUAUUGUAUGGCUCUGUUGAAAUCUAUUUGCAAAGGGCAAAUGUGUAAAAAAAAAAAAAAAAAAGUUCUUCCUGCGAACAAGAUUAACUUUCUGCAAACUGGAAUUCAGGUGAACCAUUCAGGAAUGGCGAAAUGGGAAAUCUCCGGUACGGACACUUCUCAGCGCACUAAAUUCGCUCUUUCAAAUUCCGUUGAUAUUUAUUGAAUUAUCUAUUUACUGCCUCAAUCGUUCGUGCUGUCUCUAUGGAAGGAUUGAGAGCUUUGGUUGCUCCUAGCGUUGAUUUUAUCUCAAUGUCGAUCAGAAGUAUUCAAACUUGGUGCUUUGAGUAUCGCAUACUUUAAAGAUAUCGUUUAAAAAAGAAAAUUUAUCUGAAAAUCGACUUACUGUAACUUAAAAAUUGCAGCGCCUAUCAUUAUACAAUUUCUGUAACACUACAUAUCUUUCUAAUGGACGAAACUUAAAUUCCAGUGCUCAGAACGCCACCACUAGCACCACGAGGAUGGGCUGUGAAGUUAUUUGUCACUUAAAUGAGAGCCGUCGGCAGCGCCGUCAUCCACUGCAGGCGGAGUGGGUCAGGGCUGGCACCUACGGAACUUAUUGCUUGCGCCACAGGUCGCUAUUUGCUAUCAAACUUUUAAGAGGAGUUGAAUGUACUGGGUUUUAUUUGCUUGAAAACUUUCAGGAAAACUGGAAAGUCUUCUUAAGCCUGGAAAAGAAAUUCCCAUUAAGAGCAUUAAGAUGGCAACGCUGAUCAGCUCCCGUUUCUUCAGCUCUCUGUAAGAGCAAAGCGCGUAGGAAACUCGCAGUGCUGUUACUAACGCUGAGGACAAUUCGUUUCUCUCGUGCUUCAGGGUAAUAAGCCGUACGUGCCAUAGCUAACACCGAAAAAUAAAAUAAAAACGGGGGUGAAAUAUCCAUUUCCCAUUUCUUGCUGAAGACAGGAUGAACCAAGCUUUUAUUUCUCCUGUUUUAGGACAAAAACGGCUUUACAGGCACAGCGCAGCGGUCGCUCCCCACCUCCCGGAGCCGCGGUUCCCCCGUGCGGUGCGGGACGCGGCGCAGCGCUCCCCGCAGGGCGGGCCUGCCCGUGGCUCAGCCCCUCGUUCCCUCCCUUCUCCUCCCAUCCAUCUGCCCACGGAGGCCCCACAUCGCGCGUGUGCCGCGGGCCGGGGGCUGCCUGCGAACAGGAGUAGAGCUGAUUCCCACCGCAACUUGUUUCGUUUUGAAAAUGGCGCGCCUCUCUCGCGCAGUUACGCGGAGGCGCAAAGCUGCGCACCCAGC